CAGUCGACGGGAUCUUCGGAUUCUAGUGGCGGACGGGUGAGUAACGCGUAAGAAUCUAACUUCAGGACGGGGACAACAGUUGGAAACGACUGCUAAUACCCGAUAUGCCGCGAGGUGAAACCUAAUUGGCCUGAAGAAGAGCUUGCGUCUGAUUAGCUAGUUGGUGGGGUAAGAGCCUACCAAGGCGACGAUCAGUAGCUGGUCUGAGAGGAUGAGCAGCCACACUGGGACUGAGACACGGCCCAGACUCCUACGGGAGGCAGCAGUGGGGAAUUUUCCGCAAUGGGCGAAAGCCUGACGGAGCAACGCCGCGUGAGGGAGGAAGGUCUUUGGAUUGUAAACCUCUUUUCUCAAGGAAGAAGUUCUGACGGUACUUGAGGAAUCAGCCUCGGCUAACUCCGUGCCAGCAGCCGCGGUAAUACGGGGGAGGCAAGCGUUAUCCGGAAUUAUUGGGCGUAAAGCGUCCGCAGGUGGUCAGCCAAGUCUGCUGUCAAAUCAGGUUGCUUAACGACCUAAAGGCGGUGGAAACUGGCAGACUAGAGAGCAGUAGGGGUAGCAGGAAUUCCCAGUGUAGCGGUGAAAUGCGUAGAGAUUGGGAAGAACAUCGGUGGCGAAAGCGUGCUACUGGGCUGUAUCUGACACUCAGGGACGAAAGCUAGGGGAGCGAAAGGGAUUAGAUACCCCUGUAGUCCUAGCCGUAAACGAUGGAUACUAGGCGUGGCUUGUAUCGACCCGAGCCGUGCCGAAGCUAACGCGUUAAGUAUCCCGCCUGGGGAGUACGCACGCAAGUGUGAAACUCAAAGGAAUUGACGG
rnacentral:rRNA from 1 species